UUGCCAUUCUUCUAAAUCGUUCACAUUAUUAAUUUCAUCUCCUUAUAAUACCUCUUUUCAACAGGAAGCUAUCAAAUGGAUUCCAAGAAUGUGGUCAUCCUGACCCAGCUCAUUCAGAAUCAUUUGUCUCAUAAUAAAAAUUAUGGACAGAAUACACCAGGUGUACAGAAGAAGAUAAAUAGUUCAGAAGUCUAUGUGGAAGCACUGUGGGUCUUGGGAAAAUUAGAAUAUACUACAGCUAUACCUUCCAAACCAAGAGUCAAGUUCUCCUGUGCAUGAACUCAGGCAGACACCAGAGAGAGACCUACCUGGCAACAAGUAUCAAAAGAAAUAAGAUGUAACAAAACAGGUAAAUGUUAACAUUCAGUGUUUCCCAGCGUACUGUAUUUAUUUUCCCCUCCUUGUUUCACUCCCCUUUUGAGACCAAGAAUUGUCAUCUGGAAAAGAAGAAAUUUCCUCUUGGUUUGUUGCAUCAGAGCGUAUAGGAAGGUUUGAAAAAUUUUAGGUAUUUGAAAACUACUGUCUAUUUUUAGAACCACAAACACUGAGUCUGUUUCCCAGAGGUCUUUUGUGGUGCCUUUCAGAUGUUGGCUAUGAAGUCUUUGAAUUCUUAGAGAAAGUAGCUGGGUCUUUUUUUCCUUCCAACAGCUUAUUUUGUCCUUUCAAUUGAAGAGAACACUGUUAUAAACAGCUGUUCCUGCUUCGUACUAGAGCUCAUCUCUACCGUAACAGCUCUGCUGAAAAGAAAAAGAAAAAUGAUCUCCCAGUGUGGAUUCAGUCCUGUGUGAACUUUUGCUUUCCUUUCUUCUGCAAGGCUCUGUCCCUCACCCAGAAUGGGCAGCCUGCCCCUGUCUACCCCGAGAUGUCCUGUGUUACAAGGAUCAAUGACAUGACCUAGCCUUAUCUUGUACUAGGAAAUCAUAGAGCUAUCAAGAGGGCGGAAAAUACCUUUUCUCUCCCGCUCCUCCCUCCAGCCAACUGCAAUCAGCACAAGUUUUACUGUAAAUGCAGAGGUAAGAGGAAAAAGCAGCAGCAGGAGGC
rnacentral:lncRNA from 1 species